UCUGUGUUCCCAGUGCCCACUAGGACAGCUGCCUGUUGAUACAGCGUUAUAACUUCAUCUUCUUUUUUUUUUUCUUAAUUGACAUUCAGAUCACUGUAAGACACUGGAAAGGCACUCUGCCCUUGGCUCUGUCCAUGCUUCUGAAGAUGCUGCCCUUUGGAUGCCAUUGUGCCUGGUUGUCUCUUGUCCUUUUCCUACUGCUGAAUAAGUAAAGCCACCCCUGCACUCUGCUAGCAAGCUAUGCUUGAACUAGCAGGUGUUUCUCCUAAGGACCACAGAGCAGCUGACCCCCUCCAGGUAGCUCAUAAGGGAGGAGAGGAGAGCAGACCAGACCACCUCCACGUGGGAAAGCAAGCAGAAGUGCAGCAGCUUUAGGUGAUAACAGACUCCCUUCUAGCCCUGAAUUGAACUAUAUCUGCUCUGCUCACAUGCCAGCUCUCCUGGCAAGUCUGAAAUAUAGGAGUUAUAGACCCACAUUUCAAUGCCUGCCCAGCAGACAUCAUGGAGGACAUGUGCACUUUCAGGAUGGAGAUCUCCUUGUUGGUAUCUCUGAAGGCAGAUCUGUGGAAGCAACUUCCAAGUAAAAUGAAAGACUGUAGAAGACCAACACUGGAAGCUUUUUUGUUUUAUCCCAUGUAUCUGUUUUCUUCAUGACAAUGCAAUGUGUCUGUGUCAAGGCUAUAAAAUAAGAUACCUCUUUUCCAGAAAUGAAUAAAUCAGAUGGUAUUGCCAUAUAUGCUGAAUGGAGAACAAAAUGGCAAGAGCAGCUUGUAAUAAAAUUCCUUUUAUUGAAGCAGUAAGGGCCCUCGUGACCUUCCACCUAGCCUUUAAGAAAGUGACUCAGCUUGGCAGCACUAGAAACAAGGAGUAGAUUGUUUUAGAGUUGUUUUGGUAGA